UACAGAGGGUGCGAGCGUUAAUCGGAAUUAUUGGGCGUAAAGCGCGCGUAGGCGGCCACUUAAGUCGGAUGUGAAAGCCCUUGGCUCAACUGAGGAAGUGCACCCGAAACUGAAUGGCUUGAGUACUAAAAGAGGGUCGCGGAAUUCCCGGUGUAGAGGUGAAAUUCGUAGAUAUCGGGAGGAACACCGAUGGCGGAGGA
rnacentral:rRNA from 1 species